GUUUGAUCCUGGCUCAGGACGAACGCUGGCGGCACGCUUAACACAUGCAAGUCGAACGGUGAAGAGAAGCUUGCUUCUCGGAUCAGUGGCGGACGGGUGAGUAACACGUGAGCAACCUGCCUUUAAGAGGGGGAUAACGUUUGGAAACGAACGCUAAUACCGCAUAACAUAGAAGAUUCGCAUGUUUCUUCUAUCAAAGAUUUAUCGCUUAAAGAUGGGCUCGCGUCUGAUUAGCUUGUUGGCGAGGUAACGGCUCACCAAGGCGACGAUCAGUAGCCGUACUGAGAGGUAGAACGGCCACAUUGGGACUGAGACACGGCCCAGACUCCUACGGGAGGCAGCAGUGGGGAAUAUUGCACAAUGGAGGAAACUCUGAUGCAGCGAUGCCGCGUGAGGGAAGAAGGUUUUCGGAUUGUAAACCUCUGUCUUCAGGGACGAUAAUGACGGUACCUGAGGAGGAAGCUCCGGCUAACUACGUGCCAGCAGCCGCGGUAAUACGUAGGGAGCGAGCGUUAUCCGGAUUCAUUGGGCGUAAAGCGCGCGUAGGCGGCCCGUCAAGCGGGGUUUCAAAUCCAGGGGCUCAACCUCUGGCCGGACCCCGAACUGGCGGGCUCGAGUGCGGUAGAGGAAGGUGGAAUUCCCAGUGUAGCGGUGAAAUGCGCAGAUAUUGGGAAGAACACCGAUGGCGAAGGCAGCCUUCUGGGCCGCCACUGACGCUGAGGCGCGAAAGCUAGGGGAGCGAACAGGAUUAGAUACCCUGGUAGUCCUAGCCGUAAACGAUGGGCACUAGGUGUGGGGGAGCAUCUCCUCCGUGCCGCAGCCAACGCAUUAAGUGCCCCGCCU
rnacentral:rRNA from 1 species